UAUAUCUUAACUCCAGACGCAUCCAAGAAAUACUCAGCAUCUCUCGGCAUUGCUCUGGAGCGGUAGCAGGAACAGAAACAAAGACACGUCCUUUAUUUUGUGCAUGGACCCUGGAAAUGUUACGAAGAGAGGAUGGAGUCUCCCAUUUCCCUCCAAUGGGUUUGGCAUCUGCCAGUUGAGAAGUGUACCAUUUGCAUCCGCUACCGCCCCAGCCCCGCCGGGCGAGACAAGGCCCACAUCUGAUCCUUCACUAUGAGAGGGUCUACUUGAGAGUGGCAUGUGUGCACACCAGUCCUAAAGAGCAGCAUCUUCCAGUCUGCAACGGUUGCAUAGGAAUCGGUAUUUCACGACGACGCCACAUUCGCCCAUCGGAGAGCCAUCUCAGGACUUCCACAAAUCCCAGCACUGUCUUUUCUUUGUCCUAUUUUCCAAAUACGUGCAGGUUUGGAAAGGCUGUGAGAAAUAUACGGGAUGAUGAAUC